UCCCUUUGUUUCUCUGUCAGCUGAGUCUGAAUGGGCUUCCUCUCCCACUCGUCCCUACUUCUCAUCUCUUUAAUGGAUGACACACAUCGCUGAAGGUCACAGUGAAGUCUCAAACUUCAGCUUGCAUCUUCCCUCUACCUCUAUACUCCAAGUUCCUGGCUGGCACUGGAAUUACAUCUUUAGCACGGACAUCAUAACCUCCAGGUGAGGUAAGUAUGAUUAUUUUCAUUUUGAAAAUCAACAAUCUGAAGCUCAAAAGAGAGUAGGUCAUGUUUCUGAGAUCACAGUACUAGUAAGUGCUGUCCUUUGGUAAGUGUGUGUGUGUGGUGUGUGUGUGUGGUGUGUGUGUGUGGUGUGUGUGUGUGGUGUGUGU
rnacentral:lncRNA from 1 species